GAUCCUACGGGGGGCAGCAGUAGGGAAUAUUGCUCAAUGGGGGAAACCCUGAAGCAGCAACGCCGCGUGGAGGAUGAAGGUUUUCGGAUUGUAAACUUCUAUCAGCAGGGAAGAAAAUGACGGUACCUGACUAAGAAGCCCCGGCUAACUACGUGCCAGCAGCCGCGGUAAUACGUAGGGGGCAAGCGUUAUCCGGAUUUACUGGGUGUAAAGGGAGCGUAGGCGGCGAUGCAAGUCAGAAGUGAAAGCCCGGGGCUCAACUCCGGGACUGCUUUUGAAACUGUAUGGCUAGAUUGCAGGAGAGG
rnacentral:rRNA from 1 species